rnacentral:lncRNA from 1 species
AGUGACAGUUUGACUCCUCAACAGUCAUACUGGUGGCAGGAGCACAGAGCAGUGCCUCUUGAUUGCUGGUUCAGGGGGAAUGACCCCAAGCAUUUGAGGAGAGGAGAGCCUGUGGUCAGCUGUUUCGUUUUGGGGUUCUUCCUGGCCCUUAGAAGACCGAGAUGUGCCCGACUGCACAGAAGACGAAGUUGAAGUCACUCUUCUAGAAACUGCCUGGUGCAGAUGCCAUGGUGACAGAUAUGAAAAGGAUGGGCCUUUGAACAUGGCUCAGCUCACCAGACAUGACAUCUGGAGCCGGAUCCUCCUGGCGUCACCUAGACUGGAUGCCCUGAAGACAGACUUUGUGCUCCCUGCAAGGUACCUAGAUUGGAUGCCCUGAAGACAGACUUUGUGCUCCUUGCAAGCUCAUUCCAGUCCCCAGAGCGCCUGGAACCCUUGCCACCGAGAUUCGAGUGAAGAAUGAGAUAAGUCCUAAGAAUGUGGUUGACUGGGCUUGCAUCCCCUCACGGACAUAUACUGGACACCCAGCAGGAGACUUUGCCUGCUGAGCCCUCCCCAGGGUGGAUCCCACAAUGACAGGACAUUGCUGAUGGGAACCAGAGUGUCCCCCAACCCCUCAUUUCCCAACCAACUUGCCAUCAGACAUGGGUCUCUAGUAGCUUCUGGCGUUUCAGAGACCAAGGAAGGUCAAGUUUGCUGAAGGUUCUAGAUUCCUCUGGUGUCUCUACACUCAGAGUUUACAUUGGAGAGCCCUCGUUCUCUCGUGAGCUCCCACACAGCCCGAGGCCCUGGUUAUGCUCUGCUGAAGCAGUCUGCCCACUGUGGCCUGCUAACUGGUCUUCCAUGGAGGGACCGAGGCUGCGUCACCUUGACCUUUAGAGCCAUACCCUCAGAUCUCUGUCUUUGGUCUCUUAAGGUAGAACAUGGCUCAGCUCACCAGACAUGACAUCUGGAGCCAGAUCCUCCUGUCCAGAUGUGGCCUCUAUCCUCCUUUUAAAUCUUAUGCUGUCUGUCCUUAUUCCUAAGGCUGGGGUGUACUCCAAUUGCCUUGGUCUCUGCCUCCCCACUUAACAGCUGGUUCAUUUGCCAUGCACACACAGCUUCCAGAUACCCUGUCCUUUCUUCUGACUGUGUGUAGGUGCUGCUCAGCCACUGCUUCUGUGACCCCCAAAACCCAAGGGGUGGGGAUCUGACUGAUUCUCCUUUUCUGGGCUGCUUUUGCCACAGCUGACCCAUGAUGAAGUGGGAGCCAAGUCCUCAUAGCCCUUCCUAUUGAGUAUGCAUUCCAAGGUCCAUGCUGUAGAGACCAGCCACCUGAGAGUCCAAGCCAGUAUCUCCUCUUUUCCUUACGUAGAAUCUGCACAAGAGGAGCCAGGUCCCUCCCUUUUUGUAGGUUUGUCCCCUCAAUGUCAGACAGGAUGUUUCUAGUGGGCACAUCCUUCCUUCAGUAAACCCCUCAAAGGGCCUUGCUCCCUGGGGUUGGAGGCUCUUUCAAUUGGGAAGUUGCUGCAAUCUUUCCCUUUCAGAUCUGCCACAAAAAAAAAAAAAAAAAAAAAAAAAGUGGGGACCAAGGACCUUCUUGCUGUUUUGUAACUGAAAAACAGGCUAAGCCCUUGUGGAAAGGACAGAAUGAAAAAAAUGUGGAAGAAAAGUAGAUGGUGAGAAAGAAUUGACAUGCAUUUCCUUUAACGUCACUCUAUCUUGGUCUGUAUCUAUUCUGCUACUGCUUUGUUUAAUAAAGAGUUCAUGGGAAUGGAUUAAAAACCAGACAUGAAAGGCAAUGCUCACGAGGAGACAAGAAAUUGGAAGUGUCUAAAAUGGACCUGUGUUCAAUUUCACAGACAGCCAAGAAGCCUGUUGCCCUGGGAGGCCAAUUCACACCUGUUACCACUGGCAAGAUUUGAAAAGGACCUGGUCACUUCCGGUAGUGGAUAACUACGUCCCCAAGAAAUUGAAGAGUUUAGGGACUUGCCCUUGCCUUGUGCAAUUAGACACAUUUUAUAUUUAUGAAUGAAUGUUGCAAAAAUAUG